rnacentral:rRNA from 1 species
UACGGAGGGUGCAAGCGUUAUCCGGAUUCACUGGGUUUAAAGGGUGUGUAGGCGGGUAUUUAAGUCAGCGGUGAAAUCUCCAGGCUCAACCUGGAAACUGCCAUUGAUACUAUUUAUCUUGAAUAUUGUUGAGGUGGGCGGAAUAUGUCAUGUAGCGGUGAAAUGCAUAGAGAUGACAUAGAACACCAAUUGCGAAGGCAGCUCACUAAACAAUCAUUGACGCUGAGGCACGAAAGCGUGGGGAUCAAACAGG